GAAUCUUGUGCCAGCAGUCGCGGUCAUACUUGUUUACUAGAGAAUUAAUUUUUAUCUAAUGGGAGUGGAGGUUAGAUGAGUUUUUAGGUGAAAUUUUAACUUUUUUAUAGCUUUCCAGAGGAUGUGUAAUUUUUUUAGGACCAGGAUUAGAGACCCUGUUACUUUUAGGUUAUUUUUAGGUAGUACUAUAUAGUGUUUAAACUUAAUCUUUCUGGCGGUUUUCCAUCUUGCCAGAGGAGCCUGUGUUUUUAAAGGAUGACCCACUUUUAUGUUCACUCUCUUUUUGUUUGUGUACGGUUGUUUAGUUUUAAGGUAGAACUUAUUGCUUUUUCUUUUUUAUAAUUAAUUCAGAUCUAUGUGCAACUUAUAGGGGAGGUUUUCAUGGGCUACUAUUUUUGUUUCUGGGAUUUUAUUUUCCUGAGAAUUGGAUUUGUGAGUAAGCUAAAAAUUAAAUUUUUGUCUGGUGCAAGGCCUGGUGAAAGUACAUAUCGCCCGUCGCUCUUUUGAUAGAUAAGUCGUAACAUAGUA
rnacentral:rRNA from 1 species